AUUCUGCAGUCCUGAGUCAUGGUCAUGAGGAGAAGAGCUGUAAUGCUGUGAUACAGAAUUUCCGAUCUCUAACCUGAGCAGACGUGGUGAGCAGCUCGCGAGGUUUCCACCCUUGUUUUGCAGGUUCUCAAUAGUGUCUAAGCAACUGCUGUUGGGUGUUUAUUGGAACCCAACCCUGAGCCUCUGUCCUCACCAGAGCUCUUUCUGUCUGCCCACCUGAGCUUUACAGGACACCCAUUCCUAUGUUGCAAUGAGACCUGAAAACCUAUAUGGUGUUUACCAUAUUUCUCUUCACAAAACUCCCACAGAAGGCUUCCAUUUUACAAAAUGGGAAUCAGGGAGAAGAAGGACUUCCUGUAUUGCACAGAAGGCAUAAAAUGAAGCAAAGAAUCCCAACUCCAGGCUAGCAUUUGGCUGCCAAAUCAGUCAUCUUACUUACUGCCCUUCAUGGUCAUUAAGAAAGAAACCAGACUCUAGCUCUAUCAUGGGUCAGAUAUUUGCAACCUUUACUCUGAUUGAGAAAUACUUAUUUACAAAGGCAACCACAUUAAUCUGAUGUCAGUAGAGAUGCCCGUAUGAAAAACUCCCAGACCCACAGCCAGCUGUGGCUUUCAGAACAUAGGAUUUGUCUCAGUUCUGAGCAGGUCUGCAAACUCAAAACAUUACCAUUGUUUUUGACAAAUGAAUCAAUCCGUUCUUUAAUUGUCCUGUACAUAAAAUCAUUCAUGUUUUACAAAACAUUUUCUUUUUUCUUAGUAAUCCAAAGAGAUAAAAACAGAUGUUCCCUUUUAGUAUUUCCUAGAGCUAUUCAAACUUCCUUUCUCUGCAGGCCUGCUUGUCAGCCUGGUCGCAAGGCAGCUCAGAUCCCGGCUUGGAUGCUUCAGGGUCACAGCCUCCAUCAGAUGAGCACAUGGAGGGAUGCAAAGACGGAAGAUGCCUCAUCUGCUGGGAAAUUCAACUACAACUGA
rnacentral:lncRNA from 7 species